rnacentral:rRNA from 1 species
CACGUAGGGUGCAAGCGUUGUCCGGAUUCAUUGGGCGUAAAGGGCUAGUAGGCGGCUUAGCAAGUCGGGUGUGAAAACUUCAGGCUCAACCUGGAGCGGCCAUCCGAUACUGCUAUGGCUAGAGUCCGGUAGGGGACCACGGAAUUCCUGGUGUAGCGGUGAAAUGCGCAGAUAUCGGGAGGAACACCGGUGGCGAAGGCGGCGACCUGGGUCGAUACUGACGCUGAGGUGCGAAAGCGUGGGGAGCAAACAGG